GGCAUUGAUCAAUGUAUCAUCAUAUGACCAUCUUGUUGUGCCCUUUAGAUCAAUGCUCAGGUUGGCUAAGCCACACUCAGGCCUGGAUAUUUGUUUGUUGGAUGUGUUUGGUGUAGUUAUGUUAAUGGUUGGAUCUAACCAAGAUUUUUAGUAGAGGAGCCACACACCUGUUGAAGAGAGACCUUGGGCAAAACCUAAUUGCUAGAAGUUGUUUAGAGAAAUAAUUGGUUAUGAACUUAUCCAUAGAUGCACUA
rnacentral:lncRNA from 1 species